AUUGAACGCUGGCGGCAGGCCUAAUACAUGCAAGUCGAGCGAGCGGCGGACGGGUGAGUAAUGUAUGGGGACUGCCCGAUAGAGGGGGAUAACUACUGGAAAAGGUAGCUAAUACCGCAUUCUAUCGGAUAACCAAUUUGGGCUUAGCUAGUCGGUGAGGUAAUGGCUGACCGAGGCGACGAUCCCUAGCUGAUCUGAGAGGGUGAUCAGCCACACGGGGACUGAGAAACGGCCCAGACUCCUACGGAGGCAGCAGUGGGGAAUAUUGCACAAUGGGCGCAAGCCUGAUGCAGCCAUGCCGCGUGUAUGAAGAAGGCCCUAGGGUUGUAAAGUCCUUUCAGUCGUGAGGCGUUACCGAAAGAAGAAGCACCGGCUAACUCCGUGCCAGCAGCCGCGGUAAUUC
rnacentral:rRNA from 1 species